AGGACAGUAGUGACGCAGAACUCUAAUGAUGUAAUGUCGGAAGUAGAGAGGAAAAGGCAAUGGAGAUACAUCAAUACAUUGAGUCUGAAGAGUGGAAGUCUGAGCAGGUGAUAAUAAUGCAAGAGGAUUUUAGCAGCGUUUUUAUGAAACAAUGAUAAGUCAGGAUUUACCUGUCUGUCUCUCAAUUUACACUGAAGCGGAAUGAACUUAAGCUAAGGCAGGAGGAACACAAUCCUGAGAGCCGGUCUUCCUUUGCGAGGGCAAUGGCUGCUUGGAGGCUGAGGCUGGCUCUCGGUCCUUGGGAAUUCCUCUUGCUCUGAGGUUUCCAGAAGACUGGUCUGUCCUUCCCUGGGCCCCAGGACCCUGCCAUCACUAGUCUGGGUGAGUGUGGCUGGCUGUCCUGUGGGUGGCCCUGGCCAUGGUGGCUUGGGGACAGGUCAUGUAUACCAGUAGCUCAUUUUCUGGGUGUGUCUCAGGCCUCUGUGCCUCCACUUUUCAGUGACAGUCAUGGUGGGUGAAUGACACUUUGAGCCAAAACAGGCAAGACUUUCUGAGUCUGGGACGGCUGCUUGGCCAGCUCUGGCUUCCUGUUGGUCCUUUAGGGAUUUCCCUUAAGGGUGGGGUCUGUGGACAGCUCCAGGGCUGCCAGGCUUUUGUGUCCUGUCCAGGCUGUGCUCAAACAUGGCCUGGCCAUGCUGGUUGCUUAGGGGGCUGGGUGAUCUAGGGUCUCCAGGUGGGAUGGAAAUCACAGGUGUCCUGGCCAGGGGAUCCUCAGGUGAGCGAGGCGAGUGCUGUCCUGUGGCAACCCCACUUUCAGCCUCCUCUGAUUCCCAGCUGGACCCAUGCUCUCCAGGCUAGGGUUGGAGGGAAGGUGCUGUUCUCAGAGGUUGGUGGGUACCAGUUAUCUUUCAAGACCUGGGAAGGGCUGUGCUGGGGGUCACACUCCCUUCUUGGGAUCCCCCAACCCUCCAUAGCUAGUUCCCUGCUUGGAGGUGGUACAAGAAGACCUGCUCGAUUGGGGGGAAGUCCUGUAAUUCCUGGUUCACAGUGGCCGCUGCAGUAGUAACACCCUCUCUCAGACUGCCAGACACACAGAUGCCCUGCUACCUCAGUUUUCCUUGCCAGCCAGCACAAGGCCUCCAGCCUGUAUGUUGCAGGGUUCUGCGCUGGAGACCCUCCUGUUGCUCGCCUCAGCUGUCACAUGAAUACAAGCACAGCCCUUCUCCUCCCCCACUGGAUUUUGAUUCAUGAAAAUUCCCACCACUGCUCCGCUCCUCAAGCCCAGUGCUGUGCCAGGCUUCAGGAUGCCAGGAUGAGAGGAUCUGGGCAUCCCAUGGGCAGUGUGGGGCAUGAGACAUAAACAGCCAACACGAAAGAUGUGAAAUCCCCAGGCCAGUUGGUGUUUGUUCACUUGAGUGUCCCAGAAUGUCCCUGAUUUAUAAAAAGAAGCUGGCUUCCUUCUUCUUUUUCCAUGCCAGAACCCUUAUACUUUCGUUUCUACUGGGCAUUGCACCAGCCCUUGUCUGGAGGCCCUGCCACAAUGGCGGAACCAAACAAACUGAGAGGUUUUCUCUGCUGUGGAGCUCUCAGCCUCCGGAGGCUGAAGGCUGAGCCCAAGCAGGCCACUGAGGAUGGUGGCAGGGCAGGGUCGUGAAAUGAGCUCACAGGAAGCUUUCCAGGCACAGAGGAGCCAGCUGGUGGGGCUGCUUGUGUCAGGGUCCUUGGAGGGCUUUGAAAGCAUCCUGGACUGGCUGCUGUCCUGGGAGGUGCUCUCCUGGGAAGAGUAUGAGGGCCUCCGCCUCCCGAGCCAGCCUCUCUCCCACGCAGCCAGGCACCUACUGGACAUGGUCUGGAACAAGGGCAGCUGGAGCUGUCAGAAGUUCCUCGAGGCUGUCCAGGAGGCCCAGACUGACAGCCAGCCCCCUGAGCUGCAUGACAGCUGGGACUCCCACUCAUGCCACCCUGUCCAAGAUCUUCAGCGUCACCGACCAGCUAUCGUCAGGAGACUCUACAGCCAUGUGGAGAAUGUGCUGGCAGUGGUCAGGGAGCGGGGUUUCAUUAGCCAGUAUGAAUGUGAUGAAAUCAGGUUGCCCAUCUUCACAGCAUCACAGAGGGCCAGAAGGUUGCUAGAUCUUGCCACAGUGAAGGCAAAUGGAUUAGCUGCCUUCCUGCUACAGUACAUUGAGGAAUCACCAGCCUCAUUGUCUCUGCCUUUUGAGGCUGCUGAAUGCCAGAGGUACAUAUCCAAGCUGAGGACCACAGUAUCUGCUCAGUCCCGCUCUCUCAGUACCUACGAUGGUGUGGAGAAUCUCUGCCUGGAGGACAUUUACACGGAGAAUAUCCUGGAGCUCCGGACGGAGGUGGGAUCCCUGAAGAAGAGUCCUUCCACCCUGGGCCUGGAGGAGCUUUUCAGCACCCAAGGCCACCUCAAUGAGGAUGCAGACACUGUGCUGGUGGUGGGUGAGGCAGGUAGUGGCAAGAGCACACUCCUGCAGCGGCUCCACUUACUCUGGGCUACAGGGCGGGACUUCCAGGAGUUCCUCUUCGUCUUCCCGUUCAGCUGCAGGCAGCUCCAGUGUGUAACCAAACCUCUGUCUGUAAGGACGUUGCUCUUUGAGCACUGCUGUUGGCCUGAUGUUGGUCAACAGGAUGUCUUCCAGUUCCUCCUUGACCACCCUGACUGUGUGCUGCUAACCUUCGAUGGCUUUGAUGAGUUCAGGUUCAAGUUCACAGACCAAGUGCGUCACUGUUCCCCAGCUGACCCUACGUCGGUCCAGACUCUACUUUUCAACCUACUUCAGGGCAACUUGCUGAAGAAUGCCCGCAAGGUGUUAACCAGUCGACCCGACGCGGUGUCAGCGUGCCUCAGGAAAUACAUACGCACCGAGUGUCACCUCAGGGGCUUCUCAGAGGAGGGCAUCGAGCUAUACUUGAGGAAGUGCCAUCAUGAACCUGGCGUAGCAGACCGUCUCAUCCACUUGCUCCGAGCGACUUCAGUCCUGUAUGGUUUGUGCCACCUUCCUGUGUUCUCAUGGAUGGUGUCUAAAUGCCACCAGGAACUGUUGCUACAGAAUGGGGGGUCCCCCCAAACCAGCACAGAUAUGUAUCUUCUGAUCCUGCAGCAUUUUCUGCUGCAUGCCUCCCCUCCAGAGGCUGUCUCCCGCGGCCUGGUACCUGGCCUCCUUCGGAGCAAGCUGCCCUCGCUCCUGCACCUCGGCCGCCUGGCCUUCUGGGGCUUGGGCAGGUGCUGCUAUGUGUUUUCAGCUCAACAGCUCCAGAAGGCACAGGUCGACCCUGAGGACAUUUCUCUUGGCUUCUUGGUGCGUGCCCAAGGUGUGGUGCCAGGGAGCACGGCACCCCUGGAAUUCCUGCACAUUACUUUCCAGUGCUUUUUUGCUGCAUUCUACCUCGUGCUCUGUGUGGAUGUGCCAAAAGCCUCGCUCAGACACCUCUUCAAGUGUCGCAGGCCAGGAAGCUCCCCACUGACCAGGCUGUUACCUGUACUGUGUGUCCAGAGCUCCAGAAUCAAAGAGGGCAGUGUGGCAGCUUUGCUACAGAAGAUCGAACCACACAACCUUCAUCUCACUGCAGCCUUCCUGGCAGGGCUGUUGUCCCAGGAGCACCAGGAUCUGCUAGCUGAGUGCCAGGCAUCUGAGAAGGCUCUGCUCCAGCGCCAUGCUUGUGCCCGCUGGUGUCUGGCCCGCAGCCUCCGCAAGCACUUCCAUUGCAUCCCGCCAGCCGUGCCAGGUGAGGCCAAGAGCAUGCAUGCUAUGCCUGGCUUCGUCUCGCUCAUCCGGAGCCUGUAUGAGAUGCAGGAGGAGCAGCUGGCCCGGGAGGCCGUAAGGGGGCUGGAUAUUGGGCACCUCAAGUUGACAUUUUGCAGCGUGGGCCCAGCCGAGUGUGCUGCCCUGGCUUUUGUGCUGCGGCACCUCCAGCAGCCUGUGGCCCUGCAGCUGGACCACAACUCUGUGGGUGACAUUGGCGUGGAGCAGCUGUUGCCCUGCAUUGGCAUCUGCAAGGCUCUUUAUUUGCGUGAUAACAAUAUCUCAGACCGAGGCAUCUGCAAGCUCAUCGAGCAUGCUCUACACUAUGGGCAACUGCAGAAGUUGGCUCUGUUCAACAACAAACUGACAGAUGGCUGCGCACAUGCCAUGGCCAAGCUCCUUGAGUGCAACCAGAACUUCUUGGCAUUGAGGCUUGGGAACAACCAUAUCACGGCUGCAGGCGCACAAGUGCUAGCCCAGGGGCUCCGGAGGAAUGCCUCCCUGCAGUUUUUGGGGUUCUGGGGCAACACUGUGGGUGACGAGGGUGCUCAGGCCCUGGCUGAAGCCUUGGGUGACCACCAGAGCUUGAAGUGGCUCAGCCUGGUGGGGAACAGCAUCGGCAGCAUGGGUGCCCAAGCCUUGGCACAGAUGUUGGAAAAGAAUGUGGCACUAGAAGAACUCUGCCUGGAGGAGAACCACCUCUGCGAUGAAGGUGUGUGUUCUCUCGCAGAAGGACUGAAGAGAAAUUCAAGUUUGAAAGUGCUGAAGUAAGGAACCUGCUCUCCAACAAUAGCGUCACCUCACGGGGUGUAGAAGCCCUCCUACAGGCCCUUGAAAGCAACAACACCAUCCUGGAAGUUUGGCUCCGAGGCAACACUUUCUCCUCAGAGGAAAUUGAGAAGCUCGGCCACAGGGACACCAGACUCUUGUUUUGAUGCUUCCUGGUUGAUGUUCCUCUCUGUUUGUGAGCAAGCCUGGAUUUGGAUGCUGGAAGCUGGAUUAUGUCUGGUAGAGCCCUGUCCUGUCCAGGGCUGAAUUCAUUUGCUGGGAGCACCGUGUCACCUUACCCCACCAGAAAAGUGCCUCAGUGUCCCAAGAAUACUUUUCCUAAUCUACUUCUGCCAUCAAGUUCUUCUGGAAAUUCCACCCAUAUGGGGCAGUUGCCACUGACCCUCCAAGGUCCUAGGGAUGGACAAGAGAGUGUCUGUUGGCAUAGAGAUCUGGAUCUAUGUGAAAGAUAACCCCUCCCCUUUACAACAAGGAGGAGAAUUCAGGAAGCAGCUGUCAGCCCCUUCUCAAUUUCUAGGUCACCCAUGAUGGCCAUUCUUGCUCUGGUCCUCAGCUCAUUCUGCUUGAGAUCCGCUAGGACCCCAGGAAAGGGCUAUGCCUCACCCUGCUCUCCUUCCUCAUAAGACAUUCUUGGAAGGAGACAAAGGACACCUUUUUGUUCCCUAAGACACUAGAUUUGCAAGAAAAAUAUGACCACACUCCAGCUGGGAUCAUACAUGGAUCUUUAUUUCCACUGAAAUCAAUUAUUCUUUGCCAAGCCUUUGGAAACUGCUUCAGUCUAAAUGUAGCUUUUUGAAAUUAAUCUGGGCCAGAAUUUCAAAUGGGCCCACUAGGCUUCUGGUUGAUGUGUGUGAACUGAACUCUGACAACAGAGUUCUGGAAUGCAUCCAUGAGAGACAGUUCCCUUUCAUUCAUGCAGAAUGCUUUAGGAUAUAUAGUCAGGGGUUAGAAGUUUACAAGGCCCCAACCAAAUCUUUUCUUCUAAGCAAAUGUCAAAGCCUUUAUAUUGUCAGGUGUUGCACAUAUAUUACUUUAUAUAUUAUUAUAUGUGAAAACUGGUUACUAUUUGUAAACUACUUUGUUUUAUUCUCCCAGGUUGUUAUUUUUAUAGAAAAUGUGACCAUGAGCUUUCUGCUAUAAAUAAUCAUAGAGGAGAAAAUUACUGAAUUGCCAAAGCUGUUUUCAUUGUGACCAAACAUUUUUAAGUAUUCCUAAAACUUGUCAAAUUUUAAAGCACAGUGUUCUACCUGAAGGGCAGAAAAUGAUGUUUUCAACAAAGCAAUUUAUUGCUUAAGGCAAAAGCAAUUCUUAGAAAUAGGCUGGUAAUCAAAACAUAUUUGGCUUCAGCUUGGAAGAGUCUAACCCAGUGUGAAUUUUUAAACGGUGCAAGAACCUUGUGGUGCCCAGACUGAAAAGUUACAGCAAAUGUUAAAAGGCCCCUGGAUCUCCCUCAAUUUUCUCCAAGCAGCUCCAGGAGUCUUUAACAGGAGAAGAUAGAGAAGAUUUGUGUGAUUCUCCUCUACCACCAGCAGCUCUCCACACAGGCUUUGCUGAAAUAAUUCUUAGCUGCAUUUAAGGAGCCCAUGGCUCAAGUGGCCACUGGCCAUGGUGAAGCCUGCUCCAUGAAAGGUUUGGGUCACUGAAUAUGUGGCGUCCCAUAUGGAAGAUGUCCAUUAGCUCUCUAACUGGUGUCCCGUUCUACCCAGACCCUUAUUCCUGGUUGGCAAGCAGGGGCAGGUGGAGAUGGGUCUGCGUCCUCUGAAGGGUACACAGCAGCCCACUUGUGUGGCACCAUGUUGGGUUGUAAAUGCACUUUCCUUAGGUUCACACAGCAAUGAUUUAUUAACCAGUGAUGUUAGGACAGCCAGUGAAUGAGCAAGUAGAUGUGGUCUCUGUCCUCACAGUUCUUAGUUGAGGGUAGAGGAAAAGUCAGGCAGAAGGUAAGUACACUAGAAACUAUAUAAAAAGGCCCAUUGAAAGAAAUACUAGGAAGGAAAUUGUUGUAGUUUGAUCUUGAAUGUCCCUAAAAGGCCCAUGGGUUGAAAGUCUGACAUCAGCCUGUGGUGCUAUCAGAAAGUGAUAGAACCUUUAGAAGGAGGGGACUAUUGGGAGAAAGGAAAUUAGGUCAUUGGAGGUGUACCAUGUGGCAGAGGUAAGCAGCCUCCUCUGCCACAUGCUUCCACCAUGAUGUAGAGUCACCACAGGGCCAAAGCAAUAGGCCCAAAUGAACACAGACUGAAACCUCUGAAAGUGAACCAGAAUAAAUCUCCUUUUUGAGU